AUUUGUAUUACAAAGGAACCCAUCAUUUGUAAUGUGUGUGUGAGUCACAAAGAAUAAUAGCAUUGUUUGUUCCUGGACUCAUUAUAUGAUCACUAAAAGCGAGUAGCAUAUCUUUAGGGUAAUUUUUGAUCACAAUCAGACGUUUAUGUCGUCCGUUGAACUCG